CCUACGGGAGGCAGCAGUGGGGGAUAUUGCACAAUGGGGGAAACCCUGAUGCAGCGACGCCGCGUGUGGGAAGACGGUCCUCUGGAUUGUAAACCACUGUCGCCAGGGACGAAAAUGACGGUACCUGGGGAGGAAGCUCCGGCUAACUACGGGCCAGCAGCCGCGGUAAUACGUGGGGAGCGAGCGUUGUCCGGAAUUACUGGGUGUAAGGGGAGCGUAGGCGGGGAUGCAAGUUAGGGGUCAAAACUACCGGCUCAACUGGUAGUCGCACUUGAAACUGCAGCUCUUGAGUGACGGAGAGGCAGGCGGAAUUCCUGGUGUAGCGGUGAAAUGCGUAGAUAUUAGGAGGAACACCAGUGGCGAAGGCGGCCUGCUGGGCUUUUACUGACGCUGAGGCUCGAAAGUGUGGGUAGCAAACAGGAUUAGAUACCCUUGUAGUC
rnacentral:rRNA from 1 species